UAAAGCGUGAGUAGGUGGUCUUUUAAGUCUAAGGUCAAAUGCAGUAGCUCAACUACUGUUCGCUUUGGAUACUGAAAGACUCGAGUGCGAGAGGGGUAAGUGGAAUUCCAUGUGUAGCGGUGAAAUGCGUAGAUAUAUGGAGGAACACCAGUGGCGAAGGCGGCUUACUGGCUCGUAACUGACACUCAGUCACGAAAGCGUGGGGAGCAAAUAGGAUUAGAUACCCUAGU
rnacentral:rRNA from 1 species